rnacentral:lncRNA from 1 species
CGCAGCCGGGGAUAUCGCCGUCGCUGAAGAACUUCCUGCUGAGCAUCGUGGCCGGCGGCGUCGUGCUCGGCGUGCUGGUGGGCGCCGUCGUCGCCGUCGCCAACUUCGACCCCGUCAAGCGGACCUAGACCUCCUGAUCUCAUGCACCGACUCGUCAUCACCACCACCACCACCACUCCGCUCCCCCUCUCCUCUCUCCCCCUCCUCUCAAAUUGUUCGGAUUCGAUGUGUAAUUUGUGUAAGCUAGUUUGGACCCUUUUGUAAAAUGCUGUUUCAUUGUUUCAUCUUCACGCGCCUCCUUGCACUCACCACAACAAAUAAAAUAACUAAAAUAAAAUAAAAUAAAAUAAAGAAGUUAAUUUUUUAUAUAAGUCCCUGCAAAUAUAGUUAACGACAAAUUUAUUUCUAUAAAGUUCAACUUUCAUAUAUUUUUCUAACAAAAAUUCUAAUGUUUUCAAUACAUUUCUGCCGCUAGAAUCCAUUUGAAAAUUUUAGUUAAUCAUAGGUUAAAUACUUAAUUCUAGUUUUUUUUUUAUAUUUUUAUCUUUUAAUAUUAUACUGUUAUGACUUUUGGAGGGAUAUAUUUGUGAUGACAAAAUUAAAAAUAUAAAUAGUUCUCUGACGAUUAUCUAAAGGUAACAAACCAUAGGAAUAUAUUUGAAAAUAUCAUGACAGUUGAACCAAUUUUGCAGGAACCAAUUUUGCAGGAACAACAUAUGAAAGUUGAACUUUGUAGAGAUAUAUUUGUCAUUCAUUAUAUUUAUAGUGACCUGUAUGAAAUUAAUCCAAAAAAAUUAUUGCACAAAAUUUUUAAUUUUAAUUUAUUCGGCGAAUUAUUAAUCCUAUUCUAAGACCCAAAAUUGGUUUGCUAAUCUCUAGGGUGAAAAAUAUUUUAUUUUCCCGGAUAAUAUUUUUUUAAAAAAAUAAAAUUACUAAAAGCCCAAAAGAAAAUUAUUUUAUUUUUUAAGUUAAUAUAUGUAUAUACUUUUUUUUAUGUAAGAGUUAUUAUUGUUGAGUUAGGGGGUCUACAAAAAUAUAUUUUUUUGAAUCCACUAAUAGUCGAAAGAAAAAAAAAUUCUUUAAAUUGUCUUGACAUGCGGGAUCUAAUACCUACAUGGUGAUGGCAAUAGAUUCUGACGUCUUAAAUGAAUAUUUUAAGGAAUCUUUUUGCACAAUUUUUGUUUUUUUUUUUUUUUUGUUUUUUGCCUGAAAGUUGGCCUGCAUAAGGAACCAACUUACUAACAGUAGUAACUCACAGUCACAGUAAUAACUUUUUAAUGAGAACCAGUCCACUAUUCCAUUAGAUAAAGUAAAAUUCAUCUGACGAAUCAGCCUUAAUACCAAAUGUAAAUAAUUUAACACGCGGCACAAAAUACUUACUCUUCCACUCCCGGCAUUUGUUACUAUAGCUCUUGAUCCUUAUAUUUUAAUUCUGACUAUUAGGGUGCCACAGCGUGGCUUUUGAAAUAGCUUUUAGUUGAAUAUUUCAUUAAAUAUACUGUAAUGCGUAAAUAUUUCGCUUAUUUUCGUACAGAAACUAUAAGUUUGUUUAAAAGGAGAGAAUAGGUUGGGUUAUGAUUUUUGCAUUUCCAAAAAAAAAAAAAAAAAAAAAAAUUGAGAGAAAUAUAUCUCUAUGGUCUUGUUUGGAUAUAUGUAUAUUUUAUUUAAUAUACUUCUUCACCUUAUUCAAAAGAGUAUAUAUAGUAUUUAAUAAAGAAGGCGUAUAGACAUCUUGAAUGGAUAUUAUAUUCUGCAUUCAAGAUAUUUUUUUGGAAUCAGAUAAAUCAUAUAACGCGAAUAUUUUUAAGUAGUAAAAAUCAAACUCCUAAGUUUUAAUUAUAUAAGAAUAGUUUCCGACAAAAUAGCUUAUUAUUGCAUAUAUACAUUUUCACUUCGACCCCUCGUGGGCCAAUAAUGUUUUAGAGGGGAUCUCAGCAUUAACGUGUGAAACACACAAGCAUCCCUUAAGGUACUUCUCAUUUCUAUCAAAAAUUUUUCUUUACAUAAUAAAAAAAAACUUCAAAGAUCAUUCCCGUAGUUUCACAUUUUCUUACUUUAACAUCAUAUGAUUUAAAGUGUAUCAAUUUAGUGCCAUGUGGUUUUAUUUUUAUAUUUUUAUUAUCGAUUUCACUAAUUUUUUUUGUUAAAUAAAGUAAAUAUUCGAUAAAUCUAGAUGGAGUAUCUGAAAUUUUUUGUACAUAAUUUAACAAAAUAUUAACGAAAAAAAUGACGAAAAGAUAAAAAUGAAACCAGUAGAUACUAACUCGAUACACUUUAAACCAUAGGGUACUAAAGUGAAAAAGUACGAAACCACAGUAAUGGUAUUUGAAGUUUACCCNAGGGAGUGGGCGGCGGGGAUGGUGGCGGCGGCGGCGGCGGCGGCGCUGGUGAUACCGGAGGUGGCGGAGGCGGCGCAGCCGGGGAUAUCGCCGUCGCUGAAGAACUUCCUGCUGAGCAUCGUGGCCGGCGGCGUCGUGCUCGGCGUGCUGGUCGGCGCCGUCAUCGCCGUCGCCAACUUCGACCCCGUCAAGCGGACCUAGACCUCCUGAUCUCAUGCACCGACUCGUCAUCACCACCACCACCACUCCGCUCCCCCUCUCCUCUCUCCUCCUCCUCCUCUCAAAUUGUUCGGAUUCGAUGUGUAAUUUGUGUAAGCUAUUU